AAGACUAACUAAAAUAUGUCCGUUCUAGGACGUGGUAUAUACUCCAACAUGCUGGGAUUUCUUGGUGGGGUUUCCUGGGCGAUGCUAGUAGCAAGAACAUGUCAGCUCUAUCCAAAUGCAUUGGCUUCCACUCUUGUUAACAAGUUCUUCUUGGUUUUUUCAAAAUGGGAGUGGCCAAAUCCUGUAUUGCUGAAACAACCUGAAGAGAGUAAUCUUAACUUACCUGUAUGGGACCCUAGGGUGAACCCAUCUGACCGAUAUCAUGUAAUGCCUAUAAUCACAC